rnacentral:rRNA from 1 species
GUGCCAGCCGCCGCGGUAAGACGUAGGGGGCGAGCGUUGUCCGGAUUUAUUGGGCGUAAAGCGCGCGUAGGCGGUUCGUUAAGUCGGUUGUGAAAACCCGGGGCUCAACCCCGGGCCUGCGUCCGAUACUGGCGAACUCGAGGCAGGCAGGGGAGAGUGGAAUUCCCGGUGUAGCGGUGAAAUGCGCAGAUAUCGGGAGGAACACCGGUGGCGAAGGCGGCUCUCUGGGCCUGUCCUGACGCUCAGGCGCGAAAGCUAGGGGAGCAAACAGGAUUAGAUACCCUAGUAGUCC